rnacentral:lncRNA from 1 species
AACAAGACAAACAGGUUAACUACAAGGGCUUCAUCAGCACAUAAAGCAUCUAAGUGAGAGAGAAUGUAAAGACGGUUAAAAGAUCCUCCCCUAACUCUAUAGAUGUUGUGUAAAGAGACAACUUUCUUGCUAUGGCCAUGUUAAAAUAAAAGAGACUGUUAACGAAUCUAAACAAACCACCAAAUUCACGAGCAGUUUUCAACUUUUCAAGACAGUAGGCUCUCACUUAAAGUUGAGGACACAAACCAUCAAUUGGAGGUGAGGAGGACAACUCAGGCUAAUGGAAUUGACGAUUAUUUUGUACCCUAUUUUCCUGCAAACAAAACUUGAUGUUUUAAACAUAAAAAGGCUG